rnacentral:rRNA from 1 species
AACCUUUACACUGCACGACAGUGCGAUAGGGGGACUCCGAGUGCGAGGGCAUAUAGCCCUCGCUUUUCUGUACCGUAAGGUGGUUCAGGAACAAGGACUGGGCAAGACCGGUGCCAGCCGCCGCGGUAAUACCGGCAGUCCGAGUGAUGGCCGAUAUUAUUGGGCCUAAAGCGUCCGUAGCCGGCCGGACAAGUCCGUUGGGAAAUCGACGCGCUCAACGCGUCGGCGUCCAGCGGAAACUGUCCGGCUUGGGGCCGGAAGACCUGAGGGGUACGUCCGGGGUAGGAGUGAAAUCCUGUAAUCCUGGACGGACCACCAAUGGGGAAACCACCUCAGGAAGACGGACCCGACGGUGAGGGACGAAAGCUAGGGUCUCGAACCGGAUUAGAUACCCGGGUAGUCCUAGCUGUAAACGAUGCUCGCUAGGUGUGCCGUAGGCUACGAGCCUGCGCUGCGCCCUAGGGAAGCCGAGAAGCGAGCCGCCUGGGAAGUACGUCCGCAAGGAUGAAACUUAA